AUUGAACGCUGGCGGCAGGCCUAACACAUGCAAGUCGAGCGGAGCGGCGGACGGGUGAGUAAUGCCUAGGCAUCUGCCUGGUAGUGGGGGCUACCGUCCGGAAACGGGCGCUAAUACCGCAUACUUUCCGUUUAGCCUAGGUCGGAUGAGCUAGUGGGUGGGGUAAAGGCCUACCAAGGCGACGAUCCGUAACUGGCCUGAGAGGAUGAUCAGUAAAACGGGAACUGAGACACGGUCCAGACCCCUACGGGAGGAAGCAGUGGGGAAGAUUGGACAAGGGGGGAAAGCCUGAGCCAGCCAUACCGCGUGUGGGAAGAAGGUCUUCGGAUUGUAAAGCACGUUAAGUUGGGAGGCGUUACCAACAGAAUAAGCAACGGCUAACUUCGUGCCAGCAGCCGCGGUAAUAC
rnacentral:rRNA from 1 species